CAAUGAAUAACAAGUUCUAUUGAGAUUGCUCCCCAUGUCAUCGAAGAAGCCAGAAUGAACAAGUCUUAAGCCCCCGUUGAGGUUUAGACUUGAGAUGUCAAGGUAGAUCAGUUUUGUUAGCAAUGUGAAACUAGAGGUGCCAUUUACCUUGAUAAGAAUCUAGCCUUGUGUAAGCAGUUUUGAAGAUACUUUACAGAAAAUGGUAGCCUCAUUGGCCAGAGAAGUGCUAAAAGAAUUUGCCUACAGGUUUUUAAAACCUUGCAUACAAUGAGCCGAUGAUGAGGAGCUCCACAUUGGGAAUUUCAUGUCAUAUGUCUGCCAUUUCCACCCUGGUCACUUAUGAUGCACAAAUACAACACACUCCAAGAUAAGUUUAUUCUGAAAGCAUAUAGAGUGCUAAUGUCACAGACAAAGCUACUAAUGAGAAUCAAAGAUAACUAAUGAAAAAGAGAGACAUUGAUUUCUCAAACUACUCACACACAAGCCUUUUCUCCAUAUUCAUUUUUUCUUUCUGUACAGUUUUUUCCCCCUCUAGUGACUAGCGUGCUCUAUCUGUCUCUCUGCAUCUAUCAAGUUAACUUGAAAUAAGAUAUAAUUUCUUAAACUAUUAUUUCUUGUACAUUACUCAAAUUUUUAUUGUUUCAAUAAAAUCCCUCAUUUAUUCUUUAAGUCCACUGAUGGUAAUUGGAUGAAGAUUAGAAAGAAUUUAUUACUAUGACAUAUCAGUGACCGUAUCUUGCAGUUCACUGACUUCAUAUCUCUCAAUUGUAUCAGAGUAAUAUAAAUCGAUUUUUUAUUUUAAGUUCUAUAACUGGUUAUGUUAAAAAACAUGCAACCAUCAUUGACAUGCCUCAUAUCUCCAUUGUAAUCAGAUGCUCAAUCUCUUAUUUACUAUAAAUUGAUUGCUGUCUAACAUUCAAAAGUUAGACAUCAUGGUAGCUGGGUUUAGUGUUGGUAUUAAGUGAAAAGUGAAAACCAAGAAUAAUUUAAUUUGCCUAGUUUAUUCAAUGUGGGUACCUAUUCAUACAUAAAGCCUUGAAUAUUUCUCCUUUUGCACGUUAAGCCCUGAGUUUUACCUUGAAAAGUAGGCAGUACUAACUGUACCUGAGUUGAGUGCGCUGAAGUUUCAAUAUGUAGCUUAUUUUCAGUGCAAUGAAUCAUCUAUAUACAGUCUGAACUUUAAGCAUACUUGUCAGAUAAUUUAAAUUCAUAUAUGGGGAAGAAACUAAUGGUUUGGAUCGAAGUAUGGUACUUGAUAGAACAUUAUGGCGGAAGUUGAUCCAUGUAGCCGACCCCACCUAGUGGGAUAAGGCGUUGUUGUUGUUGUAUAUGGGGAAGAAACUUUUUAGACUCUUUUGGCUGGGCCAUUAUUUGUUUUUCGAGUGUUACAGAAAUGUCCUUGUUCGAUCUCUUUUUUGAAGGGCCAAGUGCUUGCAUCGUUUUGAAACAUGAAACAUAGGACAAUGUAUGUAACACUGUACAGACAGAAUCAGUCCAGAUGUUUAGUACUGCGAUCUACUGUAGCAACUACAAAAUAAACAUAAUAUUUCAACGUAAGCUAUAUAUUGUAGUCAUGCGACUCAUGUUUAGUCAUUUAACCAGGAAGCACAUAAAAUUAAUUUUCAACUAUUUUUCUAGUCUUAAGAAGUCAAAGUUUUUUUUAGCUUAACCAGAGGUCUUGUGUUGGAAAUUUGGACAUGCAACUACAUUAAAUACUUGAGGGAGAGCUUUAUUACCCAUAGUAAUUCUACUCAGUCAGUCCAGUGGAAGAUACUUGUGGUCUAAAUCAAAAAAAAAAAAAAAA